UACGAAGGGGGCUAGCGUUGCUCGGAAUCACUGGGCGUAAAGGGUGCGUAGGCGGGUCUUUAAGUCAGGGGUGAAAUCCUGGAGCUCAACUCCAGAACUGCCUUUGAUACUGAAGAUCUUGAGUCCGGGAGAGGUGAGUGGAACUGCGAGUGUAGAGGUGAAAUUCGUAGAUAUUCGCAAGAACACCAGUGGCGAAGGCGGCCCACUGGCCCGGUACUGACGCUGAGGCACGAAAGCGUGGGGAGCAAACAGG
rnacentral:rRNA from 1 species